UACGAAGGGAGCUAGCGUUGUUCGGAAUCACUGGGCGUAAAGCGCACGUAGGCGGAUGUGUCAGUCAGGGGUGAAAUCCCGGAGCUCAACUUCGGAACUGCCCUUGAUACAGCACGUCUUGAGUCCGGAAGAGGUGGGUGGAAUUCCUAGUGUAGAGGUGAAAUUCGUAGAUAUUGGGAAGAACACCGGUGGCGAAGGCGGCUCACUGGCUCAUUUCUGACGCUCAGGCGCGACAGCGUGGGGAUCAAACAGG
rnacentral:rRNA from 1 species